UGGGGAAUUUUGGACAAUGGGCGAAAGCCUGAUCCAGCAAUGCCGCGUGUGUGAAGAAGGCCUUCGGGUUGUAAAGCACUUUUGUCCGGAAAGAAAUCCUUGGCUCUAAUACAGUCGGGGGAUGACGGUACCGGAAGAAUAAGCACCGGCUAACUACGUGCCAGCAGCCGCGGUAAUACGUAGGGUGCAAGCGUUAAUCGGAAUUACUGGGCGUAAAGCGUGCGCAGGCGGUUUGCUAAGACCGAUGCGAAAUCCCCGGGCUCAACCUGGGAACUGCAUUGGUGACUGGCAGGCUAGAGUAUGGCAGAGGGGGGUAGAAUUCCACGUGUAGCAGUGAAAUGCGUAGAGAUGUGGAGGAAUACCGAUGGCGAAGGCAGCCCCCUGGGCCAAUACUGACGCUCAUGCACGAAAGCGUGGGGGAGCAAACAGGAUUAGAUACCCUGGUAGUCCACGCCCUAAACGAUGUCAACUAGUUGUGGGGAUUCAUUUCCUUAGUAACGUAGCUAACGCGUGAAGUUGACCGCCUGGGGAGUACGGUCGCAAGAUUAAAACUCAAAUGAAUUGACGGGGUCAUAGCUGUUCCUG
rnacentral:rRNA from 1 species